UUAAGUCUGAUAACCUUCAAGGUGAAAUUAUUAACAGUGAAAGAGGCGUAAGAUAAACAAGAAACAUCUAAGUGCUAAAAAGAAAACCAGAAAAUAUACUUAUUGACCAUCUUCAAAAGAGACUUGAAAUACGAACAAGAUACUUUAUACUAGCUGAAAACAAGUCGUUCCUUGCAAAGAUGAUCCAGGUGAGGAUGGUACGAGGCUCUCACCCAUUGAAAUCGAUGGACUUUCACAAAAGCUAGGGGGAGAUUAUUACAGACUUGGACUUCGUGCUGGGUUGUCAGACGAGGUUACCAACAUAAGGAACAACAAUUUUCAAUUUCCUAGUCCAGAAAGCAAAGCUGCAGAAGUACUGAAAAGAAUAAACAACAGGUUGAAAUUUAGUCGGAUGGAGCUAGCUGAUCAUUUAGAGAAAAUUGGCUUUGGAAGAUUGGCCGACGACUUAUUACGAGGAAGAUUACGAUAGACGGAUAGAAUCACCUUACAAUUCCUGAAUAGCAUACAGCUUUAGUUAUUUGUGCUUUAUACCAUAAAAAUUUGCAAUAAUGAGUUGCUCAACUACUUUACACUUUUUUAAAUUCCAAUUUAUAGUAAAUUAUGCACGUGUAAAGAUAAAUCGAGCUGUCUCGUAUUUGAAUAAGUCCUUAUUAGUAGAGAAAACAAUCAAAUAAAGGCAAAUAAUCUCUAUGGUUGAAAUACUGCAAUCAGGCAGUUGAUUUGAACUUAAGAAUAGGAUUUCAUGUAAUAUCUAGACACAUGUCAAGUUAAUAAGAACAUAUUUUAAAACGUUUUUGUACCUCUACUUAGCAGAAAAAACAGGCAUUUAAUUGCAUAGAUGUAAUUGGCACCAAUGUAACGUAAUUUAUGUCAAACUUCAUAAAACCAGGGUAAAACAAGUUUAUGUAAAAAUUGUAUGCAAUUGUCCAGAUGUUUUAAUGAGUGAUAGUUUUGCCGAUUAGUCAUUUUACAAUAAAAUUUAUUGAUCCAUACCAAAA